GGGUCAGUAGGUUGGUCGUGCCACCGGUACGUACUGGUCUCACUGAUUCCUCCUUCCUGAAGAACCGUAAUGCCAUUAAUUUGGUGUUGCGGGGAAACAGGACUGUUACUUUGAAAAAAUUAGAGUGUUUAGAGCAAGCUAACGCUUGAAUACAUUAGCAUGGAAUAAUGAAAUAGGACGACCGAUCCUAUUUUGUUGGUUUCUAGGAUUGACGUA
rnacentral:rRNA from 1 species